AUUCUACCCAUGCGGGGAAGGAUGAGAAGCUUCGACUAAGGUUCGAUUCGAGCGCAGCGAGAAAGCGUUGCCGCAGGCAACGACCCGAAGGGCGAAGCGCGUAGCGCUGAGUCAUCCUUCCCCCACAACCA
rnacentral:sRNA from 1 species